AUUCACCCAGUUCAAUGUAACAGUGAUGGGUUUAGGAUACUGUCCUUCAUAUUCACCCAGUUCAAUGUAACAGUGAUGGGUUUAGGAUACUGUCCUUCAUAUUCACCCAGUUCAAUGUAACAGUGAUGGGUUUAGGAUACUGUCAUUCAUAUUCACCCAGUUCAAUGUAACAGUGAUGGGUUUAGGAUACUGUCCUUCAUAUUCACCCAGUUCAAUGUAACAGUGAUGGGUUUAGGAUACUGUCCUUCACCCAGUUCAAUGUAACAGUGAUGGGUUUAGGAUACUGUCCUUCACCCAGUUCAAUGUAACAGUGAUGGGUUUAGGAUACUGUCAUUCAUAUUCACCCAGUUCAAUGUAACAGUGAUGGGUUUAGGAUACUGGUCAUUCAUAUUCACCCAGUUCAAUGUAACAGUGAUGGGUUUAGGAUACUGUCCUUCAUAUUCACCCAGUUCAAUGUAACAGUGAUGGGUUUAGGAUACUGUCAUUCAUAUUCACCCAGUUCAAUGUAACAGUGAUGGGUUUAGGAUACUGUCCUUCACCCAGUUCAAUGUAACAGUGAUGGGUUUAGGAUACUGUCCUUCAUAUUCACCCAGUUCAAUGUAACAGUGAUGGGUUUAGGAUACUGUCCUUCACCCAGUUCAAUGUAACAGUGAUGGGUUUAGGAUACUGUCCUUCACCCAGUUCAAUGUAACAGUGAUGGGUUUAGGAUACUGUCAUUCAUAUUCACCCAGUUCAAUGUAACAGUGAUGGGUUUAGGAUACUGUCCUUCAUAUUCACCCAGUUCAAUGUAACAGUGAUGGGUUUAGGAUACUGUCAUUCAUAUUCACCCAGUUCAAUGUAACAGUGAUGGGUUUAGGUUACUGUCCUUCAUAUUCACCCAGUUCAAUGUAACAGUGAUGGGUUUAGGAUACUGUCCUUCAUAUUCACCCAGUUCAAUGUAACAGUGAUGGGUUUAGGUUACUGUCCUUCAUAUUCACCCAGUUCAAUGUAAC
rnacentral:lncRNA from 1 species